AAAUUGAAGAGUUUGAUCAUGGCUCAGAUUGAACGCUGGCGGCAGGCCUAACACAUGCAAGUCGAACGGUAACAGAAAGCAGCUUGCUGCUUUGCUGACGAGUGGCGGACGGGUGAGUAAUGUCUGGGAAACUGCCCGAUGGAGGGGGAUAACUACU
rnacentral:rRNA from 1 species